GACGGAGGGGGCUAGCGUUGUUCGGAAUGACUGGGCGUAAAGGGCGCGUAGGCGGUUUUUUAAGUGAGGCGUGAAAGCCCUGGGCUUAACCCAGGAAUUGCGUUUCAGACUGGAAGACUUGAGUACGAGAGAGGUAAGUGGAAUUCCUGGUGUAGCGGUGAAAUGCGCAGAUAUCAGGAAGAACACCCGUGGCGAAAGCGGCUCUCUGGAACGGUACUGACGCUGAGACGCGAAAGCGUGGGGAGCGAACAGG
rnacentral:rRNA from 1 species